rnacentral:sRNA from 2 species
GAGUUUCUCCGGGGCGGAUCCUCCUCCCUUCUUCCCCGGAGAGCAGCCGGCACCUCCUCCCGCCGGCUCAAAUUGGGAAAAAGGCCGGCACCUCCUCCCGCCGGCCUUUUUCU